AUCCCAUGAUGAGGAAACUUACAAAGUAACUCAUUGAAUCCCUCCCAAGCCUCAUACGAAGACUCGUCAUCUAGUUGCCAGAAAUUUAUGAUCUCGUUCCUCAACUU
rfam:Gossypium raimondii Chr10_contig_615, whole genome shotgun sequence.